rnacentral:rRNA from 1 species
CGGCGGACGGGUGAGUAACGCGUGGGUAACCUACCCUGUACACACGGAUAACAUACCGAAAGGUAUGCUAAUACGGGAUAAUAUAUUUGAGAGGCAUCUCUUAAAUAUCAAAGGUGAGCCAGUACAGGAUGGACCCGCGUCUGAUUAGCUAGUUGGUAAGGUAACGGCUUACCAAGGCGGCGAUCAGUAGCCGACCUGAGAGGGUGAUCGGCCACAUUGGAACUGAGACACGGUCCAA